rnacentral:rRNA from 1 species
UGUUUCGGCAAGGGGGUCAUCCCGACUUACCAACCCGAUGCAAACUGCGAAUACCGGAGAAUGUUAUCACGGGAGACACACGGCGGGUGCUAACGUCCGUCGUGAAGAGGGAAACAACCCAGACCGCCAGCUAAGGUCCCAAAGUCAUGGUUAAGUGGGAAACGAUGUGGGAAGGCCCAGACAGCCAGGAUGUUGGCUUAGAAGCAGCCAUCAUUUAAAGAAAGCGUAAUAGCUCACUGGUCGAGUCGGCCUGCGCGGAAGAUGUAACGGGGCUAAACCAUGCACCGAAGCUGCGGCAGCGACGCUUAUGCGUUGUUGGGUAGGGGAGCGUUCUGUAAGCCUGUGAAGGUGUGCUGUGAGGCAUGCUGGAGGUAUCAGAAGUGCGAAUGCUGACAUAAGUAACGAUAAAGCGGGUGAAAAGCCCGCUCGCCGGAAGACCAAGGGUUCCUGUCCAACGUUAAUCGGGGCAGGGUGAGUCGACCCCUAAGGCGAGGCCGAAAGGCGUAGUCGAUGGGAAACAGGUUAAUAUUCCUGUACUUGGUGUUACUGCGAAGGGGGGACGGAGAAGGCUAUGUUGGCCGGGCGACGGUUGUCCCGGUUUAAGCGUGUAGGCUGGUUUUCCAGGCAAAUCCGGAAAAUCAAGGCUGAGGCGUGAUGACGAGGCACUACGGUGCUGAAGCAACAAAUGCCCUGCUUCCAGGAAAAGCCUCUAAGCAUCAGGUAACAUCAAAUCGUACCCCAAACCGACACAGGUGGUCAGGUAGAGA